GACGAAGGGGGCUAGCGUUGUUCGGAAUUACUGGGUGUAAAGCGCGUGUAGGCGGCAGACCAAGUCGGCGGUGAAAGCGCCCGGCUCAACUGGGCGAGGUCCGUGGAAACUGGUCAGCUGGAGGACGGUAGAGGCGAGUGGAAUUCCCGGUGUAGUGGUGAAAUGCGUAGAGAUCGGGAGGAACACCUGUGGCGAAGGCGGCUCGCUGGGCCGGUCCUGACGCUGAGACGCGAAGGCGUGGGGAGCGAACGGG
rnacentral:rRNA from 1 species